GCCACAGCAAGCUAUCCAUCCGCACACGUGUCCGGGGCCACUUUUUGGGGGGAAAAGUUCUCAUCACCUGCCCCCCGGAGACUUGCAAUCACGCCUCCCCACUCUCUCCCCCCCCUGCCCAGCCCCUCUCGGGUUGUGCAGGAGCCAAAGGGGAUUUGUGCAGAGGAGCCACAGGCACAGGUCCAAGCCCAGCCCAGACCCAGGAGCUUGACCUGAGACAAGAGGAUAACCCAGGACAACACACUCAACUCCCCGGACGAGGAGGGGCGGUCCGGCAGCCAGAAAGAAAACGCCUGGGCCUUUUAUUGAAUCCAUAAAACAGGAGAUUAUGAAAAUAACACAGACUCACUUUAUACACUUUGUGAAAUAAAGAAAUGCAUAAAGAAGGAAAUAAAACCACCAUCAACCCAUGUUCCAGAGCUUGUUCGUACAGGUUUGAUAUUUCAGGAAAUCAGAAGAGUGAAAAGAAAACACGCUACGGCUGCCUGCGUGAGCCCACUCCAGGAGGUUGCCUGACCUUCUGAUCCACAGAGAUGUCACAGGGGCAGAGGAGAGAAGAGGGGCCUGCAGAGGUUGACAGUGUGACACUUGCCCUCCUCUGACUUUCAGUGGCACUUGUUUCCUCAUCUGGAAAAUUAAAAUAACUCCUGCCCUCCCUGUAUGACUGGAUUAUGCUGAGACCAAAUGGGAUGAUGGAUAUAAAAGUGGUCACUAAGCGACCGGUGCUGCCAGAAAGCAGGGAGCCAUUCCUUUUCCUACAGGGUAAUGGUUGGAAGUUGCACUGGCUGGGAAUCAGACCACACUGAAUUUGAGCUGUGUCAUUCACCAGAUGAAUGACUAUGGGCAACCUACUUAACCUUUCUGACAGUUUUCUCAUCUGUGAAAUGGAGGUUGUACAGAUUAAGUUAAGAGGAGACUGAAAGGUCUGCUCAGUCAUUCCAGAACCGUGGCUGUGAGAGUGACACUGCUGGUGCCCUGGACUCGGGUGGGGAGCAUAAGCUUGGAGCUGCGGACUCAGGAUCGUUCUGGACACUUGCAUUCCAGCUGGAGGAGAGUCGGGAGGUGGUGACCAGUACAGGGCUUUACAAGCUCAUUUUCAUGCCCAACAAGGUAGAAACUCACUGGAAAGUGGAAACUGAGACUUAGCACUAUGAGAAGGGAGGCACUGGCUCAGUCCCAGCACCCGGGCUUGGAUCUGGGCUGUCCCCUGCCCUCCCUGCAGGGGACUGGGGGGAGCCACCUCACCGUGGGGUUCCAGGCCUCUUCAUUCCAUCGGAGGGAAAUUGGCUUACCAAAAAUGCAACCGGCUUGAGUCAACCGUGAGUCUCACCGCCCCCGGAGUGCUGCUCCCAGGUGCCAGGCACUUCCUUCCUCUCCCCCUCGCCUUGCCUGGGCCUCUGGCUACUUUUCCUUCUGGUCCAUCCCUGAGGGGUGGACCAGGCUGGCAGAAGCAGCUGGCAUUCCCCAGAAUCCGCAUUGCCGAGUGUUUCCUGGAUGCUCACCUACAUUUCCCAGCUCCCCUUGCAGCAGACACGGCGGGGACUUGGAAGUCACAAGGGCUAGCUCUGUGCUCUUCGCCCUGUCUGGCUGCCUGGAGUGGAGAUGACCCUCGGGGCAACUUUCGAAGCCAGAUGUUAAAAAUGGUAGAGCCUCAGUCAGCUCAAAUCUUAAAUGAUGGGUGGAGAGUAGCUGUCCCACCCACCCCAUGUAUGAACAGUGUCUAUGGAGUGUAAACCGCUGUGCACUUUGUGGACUAUUUGUUACAGCAGGGGAUUUGCUACCCAGCCUGAGACAUUCAGCACUAGGAACUGUGGGCGCUGUUGCCUUUGCCUAGACUGCUCAUCCACUAGCGCCUCUCCCAAGCAUCCCUGAAGACUCAGCUCAAAUUCCAGCCCUUCUGUGUCUUCCCAUGGGCAGAGGAAACACAAAUGUAGCCUUAUCUAGUCGCUCAUCUAUGGGCUCCAACAGAAGUCACCUUUGCCUACCUCUGGGCAGCCUGAGACAGGCAGGGAUGUGGGACAUGGCCAACCGACGGAGAUUUAGAAACUCAGCUUGAAGGCCUCCAAACAAAAGGUAGCUCCUCUGAGACUCUGAUUUUUAUAGUUCUUUGUUUCUGAAAUUAGGCUCAAGAGCCUUGAUGAAGAGAGUAAGUACUUAGCUGAUUUCUCGGGAGAUUCAGCAAGUUGGAGAUGGAUGAGCCCUUAGAAAUCGUCUGCCCCCACCCUUUCCCCUACAGAUGAAGAGCCAGAGGCCCCAGGUGGAAAGGCAGAAGCGGCGCCUGGGCCUCCUGACUCUCAGCCCCGUGCUCCUUAAUUGUCCUAUUUAAGCAAAGCACAUGACAUGCUGUCACCAAGUCUCCCAUUGCAGCCCCUGGGCCAUGCUAAGAAUUAUUCAUUCUUUUCAAUUCUCUAAGACGUGCCUGUCUUCAGCCCAGUCUUUUUCAGUGUCCUCAAAUUCUGCUCCACGCUGCCUUCGUCCUCUCUGAGCAUUUAACAUCAAGGUUCUCCGUGCUGACUUCCAGUGUGAGCAUGUAGGGCAGUGCCGACAUUUCCAAGGUUAAUUGCUCAAUAUCCCUCUGGGUGGAUACGGCCAGUUCAGGGAACGUAGACCUGGUCCUUUGCUCUUUAGCAAGGGGUUGGGGCAGGCAGGAGAUGUGGCAUCACCAAGUCAUUCUCUGCUUUUUGGUCUUGUCCUUCCUUUCGAGGGAGGAAGAGUCCUUGAGAAGGAAUUCCAGCCCCGUUUUACAGAGAAGGGAACUGAGGCUCAGAGAGGUUUGGAGACCAGCUCAAGGCUCUGUAAGAUGUCAAGGCUUUCUUCUGGUUCCCCCUCCUGUGUUCUUCUCACUGCACAGUUCCCUAUCAGAGUGAGAAGCUUCUCUUUUUUCCUUUCUAAGUCACAAAAGAAAGUGACAUCAGGGUACAAUUUGGGGGGAUAUUUUAGAAUUUAAAACUCAGUGAAUUUCUCUUAUGAUUUCCCAAAGCCCAGACUUAUUUUCCAGUGCUAAUUUCUUAGAGUUUCAGGGGCCUAUUGGUUAAAACUUGACUUCUGACCUAACUUAGGAGUCGAUGUAGGUUCCACAAUGCAGGCCCAUCCUGUCAGCACUUUUUCUGAUUGUUGGAGCUGGUUCAAAACCCACGUUUCUGCCCUCACAUCCUUCCUUUCAGGAAGCUGCAGGGGAAUCAGAGUCCUGGAUGCUUGGCUCAGGAAUGGUGCUUAAGGUCAUAUGGUCCAAACCUCUCAUUGUAUUUUGGGGUGGGGGGGUGCGGACCACAGGCCCAAGGUGAGCCGGUGGAAAGGUUGGCCUGGUGUCCUGACUUUUCAGCACAAAGUGCUUUGUAGAGAACACGUGCUAGGAAUCCAGAUUGAUUAAUGUCUCCAUAAAGCAAAGAAGGCAAAGCAUUUUCUUUAAAUCCCAUAGCCUGGAGGAAGAAGGAGGCAGUCUCCUUUGGGAAAUAUAUUACAUACCACUCUGUCUAUGAAAUUGCGUUUAUGAAAUUGUCAUCUUUUGGGGAUGUGAUGACUCUUUUCCUCUGGGAUGGUUCCCUGCAGCUUUCCGAUUCAUCUCUUCUGCUUUGUCUGCAGUUUUGUUUUUUUUUUUUUCAGCUUAGUGAGUGUGUAUGUGGGGAGAGGGGAGGCGGUGUUACGGGUGGGGUGACUGUCACACAGACCCUGGAGCUGGAGAAGGUUUGACAAGGCUAGAGUUGGGGUGCCCAGCAAUAGCCAGUCCAUAGUAAUUUAUUAGAUGUUUAGCAUAAUGAAGGGACAUUGCUUCACAUACGCAUACUUGGUAAUUCACUGGGUGCUUUGCCCGUUUGGUAUCUUUUUAAAUUGCUUUUAAAAAAAUCUUUGGAAAGCAGAGACUUGGAGAGGAAGAGAUAACAUGUUGGGGAAUCUACAAUACUCUAGGAAAUGUGCUUCUGAUUUUCACAUAUGUAUGAGAAAACUCUUUCCAUCCCUGAUCACACCAUGAUACAAGGGACCGUAUCGUCAUUGUUGUGGCCAGGACAUCUGUGCUCAGAGCAGUGACUUGCCUGGGAUCUCACAGCUAGGAAGUGGCCAAGGCAGGAUUUGAAUUCAGAUCUCUAUGGGUCAAAGCCACAUUUCUUCCCACAACAUCAGUCUGCCUCUCUGAGUGCAUUGAACUGGUAACAAAAAGGAGCAAUCUCCCCCACUCUGUAGUUUGAGGAAAGCGAGUCUAAGUCUCAGAGAGGCCAGAAAUACCGUAGUCUCUAAUCGUAAAAUUGGGACUAAAAUUCCAAGCUGUGCCAAGUGGAAUGGUAUUAUCCAAGGAACGGUCCCCACCUCAAGAGACCAGCCAUCAGCUGGGGAAUCAUGUUUGAUCCUUGUGUCCCAACAGGGAAUGGUUCAGAAUGAGCCCAUGGGGAAAGGCUAGACUGGGUGGUGUGAAAGGUGAAGACUGAAGGAUCUGAGAUGCUGGACCUAUUGUCUUGUCUAUCAGUCUAUUAAAACUGUCUUUGCCAUAGACCGUGGAUCUUCUUAUACUAUUUUUUAGAACCUCUUGUGAUCUGGAAAUAAGAAAACCCAAAUCAAUUUUAGAUAAAUAUUUUGCAGUAAUUGCCUUUACUUAACAUGGGCAGGGCUCUCUCCCCUUGGAGAAUGAAGCUGGAGCCAAUGUAAUCGCUGAUCAGAUCUUCUCCUCACAAUGGUCUGAGUGGGCGCCUCUCCCCUCAAUGUUACCUCCCAAAGGAACAGGGGAUAAACACCCUUGUAAGAGAGUUGGUCUCAUUUUGCGGACGUGAAUUCAAUGGCUCACAGCUCCAUUCUACCCAUCCUGGCUCCGGCUUAAGUUUUAAAAACUAAUUCUCUCUGCAUUAAUCUGAAAAGAUCCUUCAAACAAAAGCUCAACAUCUGAGUCUAUUUACCGAGUGUGCAGCUGUGUCAAUUGGGCCAAGACAAAGCGAGGCUUCCUGGUCAGCCCACAAUGGGCUGCAGGUAGUCCUGCAAACAGAGAAACACAAGGCAGGGUCCUUUCAGGAGCCAGCAACCCUCCUUCCAAUAGGGAAGAGCCGGAGCUGAGGGGUCAAGGGAGGAGUGCCGCCCCACCCCCACCCCCACCGCCAUCACACACACACAUACACACGCACACACACACACACACACACACAAAGUGCGGGCUGAAGGAUGUGAUCUGUAAGCCCAUCAAUUAGGGCUAUUAAAAAGGUAAUUAGCCCUCUUCCAUGGAAACCAAGGGCAGAGAUGUGAAAAGGGAAAAUUCAUUUCCAAGUGGUUACAUUUUAAUGUGACACGUACACUUUCUUAAGGGCGAGAGAUGCAAUUGUGGAGACUAUCACUUGGUUGGUCAUGAUGGGAAGGUGAUCUCAAGUCAAUUUAAGAGCUAUCUUAGAAUAAAAAUAACAACUAUUUUUUAUUAUAAAAAAAUUUUUUUUCUGCUAUCAAAUCAAACACUAGAUUCAAGUCAAGUGGCCCGAUGUGGGAGGCCAAGGAGGAGCUGAGAGUCAUUUCCUUUCUAGUUUCUGCUCCCGAAGAGAAUCGUGGCAGGAAAUGAAAUCUGAAAAUGUCCACAACAAACAAUUUGUCUUGGAUUCUGAUAAGUGUGAAAUUUGGAAUUGGUGUUUCUGUUCCCUCUCUUUUCAAACAUGGGUGGGCAUUUUUGUAAUGAAGCCCAAAAGAGAAGAAAAUGAAGACAGGAAAGACCUUUCUCAUAAUGAGAUUUGAAGAUACCCACUGAAAUGGAUCUAAAGUAUACGGCUCUCUGUGCAACACCGUCCCAGUUCCCAAUGAACCUAGUGCAUACACAUAUUUACAUUGUCUCUGUGUGUUUGCUCGCGUUCAAGUAAAGGAUAAUUUAAUUUUGUUUUGUUUUUCUCCAGUGUCUGGUUCUCUUUCACUUCCCCUUCCCACUUUACUGAGGUAAGAUGUACAUGCAGCGAGAAGCACAGAUCUUAAGUGUCCAACUGGGUGAAUCACGUCUUGGUAAUCCACACAACAACCAAGAUAUACAGCAAUUUCCAUCAUCACAGGAGUUUCCUGCCCUGAUGUGGUCAAUAACCCACCCCCACUCAGGCAAUCACUAUUUUAAUUUUUAUUACUAUUGAUUAGUUUUGCCUGUUCUUGAAUUCCAUAUGAAUUAAUUAUAUGGUAGCAAUUCUUUUUGUGUGACAUCUUUCACUCAAAAUAGUAUUUUUGAGAUUCAUCUGUGAUGUUGAUUUAGUGUAUCAGUUCAUUUUCUUUUAUUUGUAAGUAGUAUUCCAUUGUGUGACAACACCACAAUGUAUCUAUUCUUGUGUUAAUGGACAUUUGGGUUGUUUCCAGUUUUUGUUAUGAAAUAAACAUUCUUGUGUAAGA